AUUGAACGCUGGCGACAGGCCUAACACAUGCAAGUCGAGCGGAUGAAGGGAGCUUGCUCCUGGAUUCAGCGGCGGACGGGUGAGUAAUGCCUAGGAAUCUGCCUGGUAGUGGGGGAUAACGUCCGGAAACGGGCGCUAAUACCGCAUACGUCCUGAGGGAGAAAGUGGGGGAUCUUCGGACCUCACGCUAUCAGAUGAGCCUAGGUCGGAUUAGCUAGUUGGUGGGGUAAAGGCCUACCAAGGCGACGAUCCGUAACUGGUCUGAGAGGAUGAUCAGUCACACUGGAACUGAGACACGGUCCAGACUCCUACGGGAGGCAGCAGUGGGGAAUAUUGGACAAUGGGCGAAAGCCUGAUCCAGCCAUGCCGCGUGUGUGAAGAAGGUCUUCGGAUUGUAAAGCACUUUAAGUUGGGAGGAAGGGCAGUAAGUUAAUACCUUGCUGUUUUGACGUUACCAACAGAAUAAGCACCGGCUAACUUCGUG
rnacentral:rRNA from 1 species